CGCCUAACAGCGCCGCGCCGAUAGCGUCUCCCGUGACGUUUUGCGCGGUCCACAGGCCAUUCAUUCGCCCCAGCAUA
rnacentral:tRNA from 1 species